CAGUAAGGAAUAUUGGUCAAUGGACGAAAGUCUGAACCAGCCAUGCCGCGUGAAGGAUGACGGCCCUCUGGGUUGUAAACUUCUUUUAUCUGGGACGAAAAAAGAUCAUUCCUGAUCACUUGACGGUACCAGAGGAAUAAGCACCGGCUAACUCCGUGCCAGCAGCCGCGGUAAUACGGAGGGUGCAAGCGUUAUCCGGAUUUACUGGGUUUAAAGGGUGCGUAGGUGGGUCUGUAAGUCAGUGGUGAAAUCUUCGAGCUUAACUCGGAAACUGCCAUUGAUACUAUAGGUCUUGAAUCAUCUGGAGGUGAGCGGAAUAUGUCAUGUAGCGGUGAAAUGCUUAGAUAUGACAUAGAACACCGAUUGCGAAGGCAGCUCACUACGGAUGUAUUGACACUGAGGCACGAAAGCGUGGGGAUCAAACAGGAUUAGA
rnacentral:rRNA from 1 species